rfam:Picea glauca, whole genome shotgun sequence.
AUGUAAUGUAAUUCCUAUAGUUUUAAUGCAUGAGAUCCCAUAAAAACUCUAUAGUUAAGUGUGCUUGGGCUAGAGUAGUAUUAGGAUGGGUGAUCUCUUGGGAAGUACUAUUUUUUUACAUG